rnacentral:rRNA from 1 species
AAACUGGAGAGUUUGAUCCUGGCUCAGAACGAACGCUGGCGGCGUGCCUAACACAUGCAAGUCGAACGAGAAAGUUUCUUCGGAAAUGAGUACAGUGGCGAACG